UCGGCAGAGAUGCCUUAGUGCCUUCGGGAACCGUGAGACAGGUGCUGCAUGGCUGUCGUCAGCUCGAGUUGUGAAAUGUUGGGUUAAGUCCCGCAACGAGCGCAACCCUUAUCCUUUGUUGCCAGCGGUCCGGCCGGGAACUCAAAGGAGACUGCCAGUGAUAAACUGGAGGAAGGUGGGGAUGACGUCAAGUCAUCAUGGCCCUUACGACCAGGGCUACACACGUGCUACAAUGGCGCAUACAAAGAGAAGCGACCUCGCGAGAGCAAGCGGACCUCAUAAAGUGCGUCGUAGUCCGGAUUGGAGUCUGCAACUCGACUCCAUGAAGUCGGAAUCGCUAGUAAUCGUGGAUCAGAAUGCCACGGUGAAUACGUUCCCGGGUCUUGUACACACCGA
rnacentral:rRNA from 2 species